AGGCAGAGCACAGAGGAAACGCCUCUUCCUGCGAAACCAGCUGCAGAGGGCCAAUGUGUCAGUGUCCCGUCAGUGGUACUGCACCACUCUGGAAAAUAUGCCUUCCGGCUCCUUCCCGUCCCCCAAGGCGGCAGCAAACCCUUCCUCUCGCCUCCUUUUGGCCAAAGCAGCCAAGGAUUUAAAAGUCUUUGGUUCAUAGAUGGCCAGGUCAGCCAGCACCUUCCUGUUGAGCUCCACCUGGCACUGGGAGAGAAGCAGAGCCCAGAAGGCGCUGAGCUCCUAGUCCCAGCACAUAAGCUGGAUCCACUCCUAGGAGCAUGUCCUGCACGGCUGCAGGGCAGGCUCUGCCCUCAAAGGGGAAGGGGAGGGAGAGGUGAAUCCC